GGUGACUGCGUACCUUUUGUAUAAUGGGUCAGCGACUUAUAUUCUGUAGCAAGGUUAACCGUAUAGGGGAGCCGAAGGGAAACCGAGUCUUAACUGGGCGUUAAGUUGCAGGGUAUAGACCCGAAACCCGGUGAUCUAGCCAUGGGCAGGUUGAAGGUUGGGUAACACUAACUGGAGGACCGAACCGACUAAUGUUGAAAAAUUAGCGGAUGACUUGUGGCUGGGGGUGAAAGGCCAAUCAAACCGGGAGAUAGCUGGUUCUCCCCGAAAGCUAUUUAGGUAGCGCCUCGUGAAUUCAUCUUCGGGGGUAGAGCACUGUUUCGGCUAGGGGGUCAUCCCGACUUACCAACCCGAUGCAAACUGCGAAUACCGAAGAAUGUUAUCACGGGAGACACACGGCGGGUGCUAACGUCCGUCGUGAAGAGGGAAACAACCCAGACCGCCAGCUAAGGUCCCAAAGUCAUGGUUAAGUGGGAAACGAUGUGGGAAGGCACAGACAGCCAGGAUGUUGGCUUAGAAGCAGCCAUCAUUUAAAGAAAGCGUAAUAGCUCACUGGUCGAGUCGGCCUGCGCGGAAGAUGUAACGGGGCUAAACCAUGCACCGAAGCUGCGGCAGCGACACUAUGUGUUGUUGGGUAGGGGAGCGUUCUGUAAGCCGUUGAAGGUGUCCUGUGAGGUAUGCUGGAGGUAUCAGAAGUGCGAAUGCUGACAUAAGUAACGAUAAUGCGGGUGAAAAACCCGCACGCCGGAAGACCAAGGGUUCCUGUCCAACGUUAAUCGGGGCAGGGUGAGUCGACCCCUAAGGCGAGGCCGAAAGGCGUAGUCGAUGGGAAACAGGUUAAUAUUCCUGUACUUGGUGUUACUGCGAAGGGGGGACGGAGAAGGCUAUGUUAGCCGGGCGACGGUUGUCCCGGUUUAAGCAUGUAGGCGGAGGUUCCAGGUAAAUCCGGUACCUUUUUAACGCUGAGGUGUGAUGACGAGGCACUACGGUGCUGAAGUAACAAAUGCCCUGCUUCCAGGAAAAGCCUCUAAGCAUCAGGUAACACGAAAUCGUACCCCAAACCGACACAGGUGGUCAGGUAGAGAAUACCAAGGCGCUUGAGAGAACUCGGGUGAAGGAACUA
rnacentral:rRNA from 1 species